rnacentral:rRNA from 1 species
AUGGCCAAUACCCGGUCAGGAGGGGCGAACAAUGAGGGAGCAGGGGACACCAACACCAGUGCAAGGGAAGGCAGCGCCGCCACCAAUGCAAAGCACCCCAAGUCCGCAACGACCUCCACCUCGUCUGUGCGUGAAACAGGCGAUGAGCCGAAGCCAAACCUGAGGAUGCUGAAUCGAGAAACAAAAGGAAAGGAUCCCAUUGUGAUGACCACCACCAGUUCUGCAGCUACACCGGUUUCGCAGACAUCUAUGAGGGGCAGGAGCAACCCCAGCACACCUGAUUCCCUGAAAUCGUCAGCAAUGAAGCUAAAAGGGUCGACGAGGAAGCCUAGUUCCCCCAAAACGUCUGACAGAGUAAAGAAAAGUACCAUUUCAGCUUCUGCUGCUUCAAAUGAUUCAACUGGAGUUUCUCCUGGUCAAGUGGCUGCUCUCGGCAAAACCGUGAAAAGGAAAAUUGAUGAACGUAAGUCAACCAAGAAUAAGCAUGAUGCUUCUGAGAGCGGUACCAGGCCACUGAAGCAGCAUAAAAGGCUAACUGUGGAAGACAAUGGCUCUGUUUUGAGGUUUGAAGAAAGUGGCGCGCACGAAGAAGAUAACCAGGCACAUUUAAGUCAAGUCGUCAAUGAAUUUUGUGAAGGCUGUACUUCUGGUCGGUGUGAAGCUCCCGAGUUGAUACUGGAGACAGAUGGGUCGAAAACUGAUGUUGAAAAAUCUGCUCCCAUUUCGGAGGCACAUAUGACUGCUGAUCUAUGCUCACAGAAUAUGGUGGCUGAAAGCAGUCCUGCAGUGGACGCUAGAGAGCCAACUGAUAACUGUUCAGAGUUCACACCUCAUGUUGCAAUGGCCCAGAAAGUGGACUCGUCAAAAUUUGUGGAGUACUGGGUUCCUGCUCGCCUUUCACGAGUGCAACUAGAAAUGUACUGUUAUACCUUGCUUUCAAACUCACUAGCGCUUCAAUCAAAUGAAAAAACUGACAGUGUUGGUGCUCUUCGCAACAUUCUUGUAUCCCUCCGGAAGUGCUGCGACCACCCUUAUCUAGUAGAUGAAACGCUGCUAGACUCACUUCCCAAGGGCCACCCAGUAACUGAUAUCCUGGAUAUUGAAGUUCGUGCAAGUGGCAAGCUACUGCUUCUUGAGAAAAUGCUCCGAUUAAUCAAGGAAAAAAGGCAGAGAGUUCUUAUCCUUUCCCAGUCUUGUGAUGGGGCUGGCAUUCCAAUGGGUGAUAUUCUGGGUGAUUUUCUCUGUGAAAGCUUUGGUCUUGAGUCAUAUGAGCGCGUGGAGCAUGGUUUCUCUGUACCAAAGAAACAGGGUGCAAUGAGUAUGUUCAAUGACACGACUAAGGGCCGGUUUAUUUUCUUGAUUGAUAGUCGUGCAUGUGUCCCAAGCAUUAAACUGUCAUCAGUUGAUGUCAUCAUCAUAUAUUCUAGUGAUUGGAAUCCCACAAAUGACUUGAGAGCCCUCCAGAAGAUCAGCAUAGAGUCACAAUCUGAAUGUGUGCCCAUUUUUCGUUUGUAUUCGUCUUGUACAGUGGAGGAAAAGGCUCUUAUACUUGCAAAGCAUGAUCAUACUCUUGAUACCAGUGUCCAGAAUAUAAUGCCUAUCCUGAGCCAUUGUAUGCUUAGUUGGGGUGCAUCAUUUCUCUUCAGUAGACUUGAAAGGCUAGAAAACGAUGCAUAUUCAUGGAUAAAGUACUUUCAGAGUUCUCAACGAAGUUAUCCACUGAAGAUGAUACCAGCACUAAGACGAGCAAUGCAGCCGUAUCACAAGCUCAUCUGA